UUUAUUUUAUUGAAAUAUAAUAGUAAGCUUUAAACCAGCUAUCUUUAAGAUUACGUUUUAGUUCAUUAUUUUUUAUUUUCAUUUUAUAAAUAUUUUAGGUUUUUUAUUAAGAUUAUUAAUUUAAUUUUAAAAUUUUUGUAAUAAUGAUAGAAUUAGUAUAUUUAUUUGUAUGAAAUUUUUACCUUGUGAACUUAUUAUAAGGAACUAGGCAAAAUUGAUUUCCGCCUGUUUAUCAAAAACAUGUCCUCUUGUUUAUAUUUUGAGGUCUGGCCUGCUCACUGAGCGUAUUUUUAAAGAGCCGCGGUAUUUUGACCGUGCAAAGGUAGCAUAAUCAUUAGUCUCUUAAUUAGUGGCUGGAAUGAAUGGCUUGACGAGAAAUCAACUGUCUCUUAAUAGAUUUUUGAAUUUAACUUUUGAGUCAAAAGGCUUAAAUUCUUCUUUAGGACGAGAAGACCCUAUAGAGCUUGACAUUUUACUUUUAUAUAGUUUUUUGUUUGUCUUUCUAUAUUUAAUGAUGAUGUUUUGUUGGGGUGACAUGAAGAAUAGAUAAACUCUUCAUUAUUAUAUCAUUUAUUUAUGUUUGUUAUUUUGAUCCAUAAUUUAUGAUCAUAAGAUUAAGUUACCUUAGGGAUAACAGCGUAAUUGUUUUUGAGAGCUCAUAUCGACAAAGCAGAUUGCGACCUCGAUGUUGGAUUAAGAAAAAUUUUGGGUGCAGGAGCCCAAUGAUUAGGUCUGUUCGACCUUUAAAUUCUUACAUGACCUGAGUUCAGACCGGCGUGAGCCAGGUCGGUUUCUAUCCUAAGAUUGUUAAUCCAUAUUAGUACGAAAGGACCAUAUGGUUAAAAUAUUUUUUGUUAUAUUGAUUAAUAUUAAUUUAUUUA